UGCGCAGGGAGAAGCGCAGGACUGUGCAUGCGUUAGGGUAGAGGAGGAGGAGGUCUUAGCCACAUAGCCGAUCUGUCAUCACAGAGUGAGUGUGUGUCGGUGUCGGAGUCUCCGUUUUGGUUUUCACUACUCAUUCUGCCUUUUGCCCCACCAAAGAAUCUAUCGUCCUCU